UACGUAGGGGGCUAGCGUUGUCCGGAAUCAUUGGGCGUAAAGCGCGUGUAGGCGGCCCGGUAAGUCCGCUGUGAAAGUCGGGGGCUCAACCCUCGAAUGCCGGUGGAUACUGUCGGGCUCGAGUACGGAAGAGGCGAGUGGAAUCCUGGUGUAGCGGUGAAAUGCGCAGAUAUCAGGAGGAACACCCGGUGGCGAAGGCGGGUCUCUGGGCCGUAACUGACGCUGAGGAGCGAAAGCGUGGGGAGCAAACAGG
rnacentral:rRNA from 1 species